UACAGAGGGUGCAAGCGUUGUUCGGAAUCAUUGGGCGUAAAGGGCGUGUAGGCGGCCUUUUAAGUCCUGCGUGAAAUCCUGCGGCUCAACCGCAGACGGUCGUGGGAAACUGGAAGGCUAGAGUGCGGGAGAGGAGAGUGGAAUUCCCGGUGUAGCGGUGAAAUGCGCAGAUAUCGGGAAGAACACCCGUGGCGAAGGCGGCUCUCUGGAACGCAACUGACGCUGAGACGCGAAAGCGUGGGGAGCGAACAGG
rnacentral:rRNA from 1 species